CCUACGGUGGGCUGCAGUGAGGAAUAUUGGUCAAUGGGCGAGAGCCUGAACCAGCCAAGUCGCGUGAGGGAGUACUGCCCUAUGGGUUGUAAACCUCUUUUGUCGGGGAGCAAAAGCCGGACGUGUCCGGCUGUGAGAGUACCCGAAGAAAAAGCAUCGGCUAAAUCCGUGACAGCAGCCGCGGUAAUACGGAGGAUGCGAGCGUUAUCCGGAUUUAUUGGGUUUAAAGGGUGCGCAGGCGGAUUUUUAAGUCAGCGGUAAAAUCGUGGGGCUCAACCCCAUCCAGCCGUUGAAACUGGGGAUCUAGAGUGUGCGAGAGGUAUGCGGAAUGCGUGGUGUAGCGGUGAAAUGCAUAGAUAUCACGCAGAACCCCGAUUGCGAAGGCAGCAUACCGGUGCACAACUGACGCUCAGGCACGAAAGCGUGGGUAUCGAACAGGAUUAGAUACCCCUGUAGUC
rnacentral:rRNA from 1 species